AGAUUGAACGCUGGCGGCAGGCCUAACACAUGCAAGUCGAGCGGCAGCACGGGUACUUGUACCUGGUGGCGAGCGGCGGACGGGUGAGUAAUGCCUAGGAAUCUGCCUGGUAGUGGGGGAUAACGCUCGGAGACGGACGCUAAUACCGCAUACGUCCUACGGGAGAAAGCAGGGGACCUUCGGGCCUUGCGCUAUCAGAUGAGCCUAGGUCGGAUUAGCUAGUUGGUGAGGUAAUGGCUCACCAAGGCGACGAUCCGUAACUGGUCUGAGAGGAUGAUCAGUCACACUGGAACUGAGACACGGUCCAGACUCCGUACGGGAGGCAGCAGGUGGGAAUAGUUGGACAAGUGGGACGAAAGCCGUGACUCCAGCCAUCGCCGCGGUGUGGUGAAGGAACGGUUCUACGGUAUUAGUAAAGCUUAACGUUUUAAGGUAGGGAAGGUAAGGCUAAGUUACCUAAGUUACGUAUUC
rnacentral:rRNA from 1 species